rnacentral:lncRNA from 1 species
GUUUUCACACUGGAGCUCACUAACCAGCUGACCUCUUAAGAGAGGGCUGGUACAACAGGUGACACAGGAAACUCAGGUGAGGGUGUGGAGAGACAGGAACUCAGGUGAGAGGUGGAGAGACAGGAACUCAGGUGAGAGGUGGAGAGACAGGAACUCAGGUGAGAUGUGGAGAGACAGGAACUCAGGUGAGAGAUGGAAACAGACAGGAACUCAGGUGAGAGGUGGAGAGACAGGAACUCAGGUGAGAGGUGGAGACACAGGAACUCAGGUGAGAGGUGGAGAGACAGGAACUCAGGUGAGAGGUGGAAACAGACAGGAACUCAGGUGAGAGAUGGAAACAGACAGGAACUCAGGUGAGAUGUGGAGAGACAGGAACUCAGGUGAGAGAUGGAAACAGACAGGAACUCAGGUGAGAUGUGGAGAGACAGGAACUCAGGUGAGAGGUGGAAACAGACAGGAACUCAGGUGAGAGGUGGAGAGACAGGAACUCAGGUGAGAUAUGGAAACAG